rnacentral:tmRNA from 1 species
GGGGAUGACAAGGUUUCGACGUGAAGUUAUGCACUUUGAUAAAUGGCAAGAGCGCACCUAUGCGUUAAAUGGAAAACUCUAACUGCAAAAGAAACAUUCUUAGCAGAUCUUAAAAAGUUUGCAGCGGCAGAACUAGGCAAACUUGCAGGUCAACUUGAAGCUUCACAGCCUCAAUUUGCAUUUGCAGGAGCUUACACUGCUUAAGCUUUCUUUUUAGGCUUUCUCAUUGAACGACCUCCGAUAGUUCUUUGAGGUACAACCUUCGGGGUACGAUCCUAAUCUUAGUUCUCGAUCUAUUUUAGGAUUCGACAAGAAACAAAAUCGGCAGCCUGACGGUGGUUCGUACACUUCCCGCACCAGGCACGAAGAAAAAGUAUACUACCUCUUCGGCCAUAGGCCGAUCGUCCUCUGGACGAUGCUAAACAUUUUUUAUUGUGCCUUUGCGGACCCGGGUUCGACUCCCGGCAUCUCCACUU